AGUGAGCUGCGGCGGAACCGCCAGCAACCGAAUCCGCGUCUGUAGCUCACAUUUCACCAAAGACCAGUUCCACAACUUCACUCAGGUGAAGCUGGGCUUCGGCAAGAAGCGCAAGCUCGUUGAUGGAGCUGUUCCGUCCCUCCCUCCGGUCCCUCUGAGCGCUGCCCGGCAGAGCCAGCAAAAUGUCAUCUCUAUGGCGGAAGAAUGCCGUAGAGAAGAGGAGCAGUCAUCAGGUGCUGAGAUGGAAAGGUCCGGCGAGGGUUCCCUGAGGUCCGUUGCCGAUUUGCCCGCAGAGUCCAGCAGCUCGUCCGAGCGGCCCCAGCGUGGCACCGAGGAAGACGAGCUGGAUGGGUUUCCUGUUUUUGGGGCGGAUGAAGAAGACUGGGAGAGCAGCUCCAGUCAGAGGGGCCGUCACAGUGAGGAGCAGGACGAGAGUGAAAGUCAGAGCAGGAAAGUCUCGCAACAGAGUGGAGCAAAUGCAGAUGACGAUGCUCAGCAGUCUCAAAUGGAGGAGGGCGCUUCACAGAACGAAACUAGUACGUCGUCACAGGAGCAAGGUGGAAGCUUUAGAGAGGAAACCCUGUAUUCUCCUUUAAUGAAAAUAAAGGAUGAGCCCAUAGACGAGGGCUAUGAUAAAGCCCUUAUCCCACCGUCUGACAUCAGCCGCGUUAAAGAGGAGCUUGAGAAUGGGGAACACGAGAUAGCAACACCUCCAGAUGAGCUGAGGAUCAGUUCUGUGUUCUCUGUUAGAGGAGCUGGUGAUCCCAUUUCUGGUUCUGUUGCAGUCUCACAGCCGCCUGCAUUCUCUACCAUGAGUCAGUCAACUUCAGCCAUUAAAGCACCUCUUAUGGUUCUGCCAGCCCAACCGCAGCCUCAGCUCCAAGCCAAGCCCUUGGCCCAGAUUCAGCUCCAGCUCCAGCCCCAACUCCAGCUCCAGACCCAGCCUCAGCCGCAACUCCAGCUCCAGACCCAGCCUCAGCCCCAGCUCCAGCUUCAGCCUCAGCUGCAGCCCCAGCCUCCUCCUGCAUCAAUACGAAUCUGCUGCUCAGGCUGCUCCAAGGUCCUGCAGAAAGGCCAAACAGCGUUCCAGAGGAAAGGCUCUAACCAGCUCUUCUGCUCCACUGUCUGUCUGACUGGAUUCAACCUGCCUCCAACCAUCAGUAUUGCCCCAAAGAAAACUUGCCACCUCUGCCUCAAGGUGAUUGGGAAUCCAAAGGACUUGAUAACCGUUCCAGUGGAUUCUUCGAACACGUUGAAGGAGUUUUGUAGCCAGGCCUGCCUGACCAUCUAUAGAUCCAGGGUUGAGGGCUUUAAUGAAGACAGCAUUGUUAGAUGCACCAUGUGCAGAAAUCCCAGUGAGAUCCAACACGAGGUCAAUCAUCAGGGUGUCCUUCACCGCCUCUGCAGUGACGAAUGUUUCUCCCGUUUCCGCUCGUCCAAAAGACUGUCCAUGAGCUGCUGUGAGAGUUGUGGUAACUGCACCGUCACGGGCAACUAUCAUCUCGUACAGAUCGAGGAUGCUGUUAAAAAGUUCUGCAGCCCAGUCUGCAUCAGCACAUAUAAACAGAAAAGUGGGAAGCGAGUUCACUGCCCCUACUGUCACGAGUUUAAAUCUGUGGACCAGAUGCUGGAGGGAACGAACGCACAGGGAGUCAUCGAGUUCUUCUGUUCCUCCAGAUGCGUGACCAACAGCCAGGCGUCUCGCACUCUCUCAGGUGCCUCAUUCCCAUGUACAAACUGCCAGAAGUUAGCUGUUCCUCAGUAUCACCUGGCUAUGCCUGAUGGAUCCAUCCGCAACUUUUGUUCGUACGAGUGUGCUUGCAGAUUCCAGGAGAAGCUACAAAGGGCACCAACCCAAAUGAAUGGAGGUUCCGCAGUUGCUCCAAAUACCACCCCAAAUAUGGGCCCUCGUGGACCCCAGUACUCCGUGUCAUCUCGUCCCCCUGCACCUCUUAAUGCUCCUAACCCUUCUGCUUCCUAUAUGGCCGCCUCGAGCCAGAAUCCUCCAUCUUUUGUGCCUACCUCAAAUCAAAACCCCAUUCCACCAUAUGUGCCAGCACCUGGACUGGCAAACCCACAGGACAGCCAGGAUCAGCAGCCAGACGCUCCAGCCUCAGCACAAAGCACCAUCAGGCUGACCUGCAAACAGUGCCAGAAGCAGUUCCGCUCCAAACCUGAGGUCCUGCAGUUUAAGAAUCACGUUGGGCUUUUCUGCUCACGCUUGUGUUGUGACACGUACAAGAGGGAGAAGGACGUUAGAGCAGUGUGCGAGUACUGCAAAGAAGAAAAAGUGCUCAAGGACAUCACUAUGUACGAACAUAAGCCACGGGCCUUUUGUUGCGAAGGCUGCAAACUGCUCUUCAAGCAUGACCUUUCCAAGCAGCAUGGGAGCCAGUGCAGGAUCUGUGCUUACUGCUGCAACAUGACCCACAGCACCAUCCAGAACCACUUUGGGGGCAAGCUGGAGGAGUUCUGCACUGAAGAGUGCAUGUCUCUCUACACUGUUCUCUUCUAUGAGAUGGCAAAGUGCUAUUGGUGUAAGACUCAGGGGACACUAAGUGAGAGCCUCAAGUGGGACGGAACAAUAAAACACUUCUGCAACCUGCGCUGCGUGCUGCAGUUUUGCUCCAAGAGUGUUGUCCCAGACCAACCCAACAGCAACGGUAUCACCACUUCUGCCACUGCAGCCCAAGCGCCAUUGUCUCUCUCUAAAGACAUGCCUGUCAUCGGUGGUGUUGUUUCACUGGCAUCCGCGCUGGCUGGUAACACUGCUCUUACAGGAGCACUUCCUACCUCUAAUGCCAGCUCGAAAAUCAUCGGUGAUGCCAGCACCCAGACAGAUGCUGCAGUGAAUGUUAGUCCUCAUCAGCGACGGAUGCUGAAGAACAAAGCUCUGAUGUGCAAACCUAUCAUUGAAGAGCAGGGCGUCCAGUGUCAACUUGAGCCUCCAAAACCGCUGUUUGAGACAGUGGUUGAUGAAAAUGGAGAGAAAGUGAAGCUGGUGCCGGUGCCUGUGCCGAUUCCAAUGCCUGUGUACAUUCCUGUGCCCAUGCACUUGUACACUCAGUUCACACCAGUGCCCCUAGGACUUCCUCUGCCUGUACCCGUGCCACUGGUCAUGCCAGCUUCCCCGGAGUCCACACAGGACAGUGUCACUAAAGGCAGCAUGCCCUCUCAGAGCUCAGUGGAGGACGAAGAGGCAGAAAAGAGUAAAGACAGGCCGGUGUCCCAUGGUGACCAGGGCAGUACUUACAGUGGGGACCUGGAGUCGGAGGCUAGGUCUACACCCUUCAGUUGGGCAGAUGCUGAGGAUUCUUCACAACAUCAUAAGCCAUCAGUCCCUUCAUCUCAGAUAGAGAGACCAGCCAGUUCUCCCACUGCAUCCACAUCACCCAGCCCACUAGAUUUGGAAAAGGACUUUCCUGUUGCCUCGAAUGAUUAUGGAUCCUCAAAGGAGCAGAAGUCACCAAAGCGCCGCAAGAGAGGAAAGCGGGCUACUGUUGUGGAAAAACUGAAGAAAAAACCGGAUACAGAACCAAAUUGCACACAGUCUUUCUCAGACACUGAUUUAGGACAGUCAAGCAUGGAAACAUGUCAAACUGAGACACUGGAUGCAAAUACUUCGAGUAACUUGGAGUAUAUUCUAACCGGUGAUGAGCAGGUUGAACCACAGAUGAAUUGUAAAUCUGGCCCACAGCUUAGGUCAUCAUCUCGGUCAAGGUCAUCUUCAAGGCCAAAUUUGAAACCAUAUGAAAUGGUUGGCAAUCAGAAAUCACGCACCAAAAGGCAAUUCUGUAUUUACUGUAAAGAGCCCAAUGCCAAAAUAGCAAGACAUUUAGAAUGCAAACACGCAACGGAAACAGAUGUUGCACAUGCCCUCCGUUUUCCAAAGGGAUCUAGAAAAAGACAUCUUUUACUUGAACGGCUUUGCAGAAAAGGCAAUUAUCAGGGUAAUAUCGAAGGUCUUCGGAAUGGAAAUAAAGAAAUUGUUCCUAAAACCCAAACAAAAGGCAACAAUUCCAUGAUGGAACUUUCGCCAUGCCAAUACUGCCUGGCUUUCUAUCGCCGACGUGCCUUGACAAAACAUGAACGCUCAUGCAAGAUGAAGAUGAAUUUGCGGUCCUGUUCAAAUUUUUUGCAACAACCGGAUACUAAGUGCUCCUCUCAGUCUGGUUUGGAGUCUAGUAUUGAACCUACAUCUGAACUGAGCUCCCAACCCCUUGCCACAUUAAGCCCGGUUCGAGUGCCAAAUCAGAGUUCCAGUCCUGAACCCAGACCACAACCUAAUCUUGACUCCAGCUCCCAACCCAGUAUCAGUUUCUGCCCUAAAUCCGUCACUCAACCCAAUAUUGAAAUCUUCUCUAUGCCAAGUACUCAGGUCAGUUCUGAACUCCUUAAAACACCCAGCCUUGAAUCAUGUGACAGGACUUCUCUCGGAUUUGAUCCACAACUUGGCCAGCCUUGUGCUGAAUCCCUCUAUCCACCUAUUUCUGAUCUUGGUCAACCACUUAGCCCUGAAUCAUGCCAUGAACCUAGUUUGGAGUCUAGUCCUGAAAUAAGCCUUCAAACUACUGAAUUCUCUAAUCAGGUCACUGAUAGAUCCAGUCUUCAGAAAAGUCCAUUUCCUAGUCCUGAAUCUCCUGACCCUAUCCCACAGCCUGAUAAACCACAUUUGGAAUCCCCUGCAAGAUCUGAUCCAGAUCUUGGACUGCCACUAUCUCUGGAUUCAUGUCUUCAGCUCACUUUUAAUUCAAGUCCAGAACCUAGCCCUCAGUCUCAUUUUGAAUCCUGUCUUCAAUUCAUGGAGACAUGCAGUCCAGAAACAGAUUAUCCCAAUUCUUGCCAACAAACUAGCCUCAGAAUCAGUCCUGAACCAAGCCCACAAACAAAGCAGGCAAGUUUUGAGUCAUGCCUUCCAUCCAGUGUGAAGUCCAGCUCUGAAUUUAGCCCACUAAUUCAGCCUGAACCAGGUCCUAGCUCUCAGCCUAAUCUUGAAACAGAUUCCUUGUCUGCUCCUGAAAUAUGCCACAACCCCAAUGCUGAGUUGCAUCCACAACUUACUCUUGAGUCCCGUGAGAUGGGAUGCAGUGUGAAAUCAAGUCCUCAGCCCAGUCCAAAACCAAAUACUGAACUUUGUCACCGUCCCGCAGUAAGACGCAAAUAUAACCGACGGACAAGUUUAUCAUGUUCAACGUACAACCUGAGAUCCAAGACAUCAGUGGUGCCCAAAGUCAGCCCAUAUAUUGAUAAAAAUGGGAACAAUGAACAAAAGCUGGAUGCAAAUGUCUCAAGUGCAUCUGAAAAGAAUCCGAUUUAUGAAAAACAGUCUACUUUUAACAUGGAUUCAGUUGGCAAGUCGGAUGGAAUGAGACAGUUGGAUAAGAGUGGUGAUGUCUCUUCAACUCUGAACUCAUGUUGCCGGAACAACAGUUCCAAGUCUGGGAUGAAAUCAUCCACAGAGAUCAGAACAAAGACUGUAUCAACCUCAAGUCCAGUGUCCACUCAAAGUUGCAGCAUAACCUGUACUACUUCAAGUUCAGUGCCAUCUCAGCAGUUAACUUUAAAUAAUAAAACACUUGGUGGUCACAAAUUAUUGAGCAAACAACAGUUCUGUGUCUACUGUAAGAAUCCCUACACCAAAAUAGCACGGCAUCUGAGGCAUCAACAUGCACAUGAAAAAGAUGUAGCACAUGCCCUGAGUUUUCCUAAGGGGUCUAAAAAAAGGCUUCUUUUGCUUGAACGACUGUGCAAAAAAGGCAAUUAUCAGCAUAAUAUUGAAGUUAUUCGGAAUGGAAAUGGAGAAAUUGUUCCUAAAAUCAGAAGAAAAGGGAAUCAUUCCAUGAUGGAGUAUUUGCCCUGCCAGUACUGCCUGGCUUUCUAUCUCCGACGUGCCUUGUUAAAACAUGAGCGCUCAUGCAAGAUGAAGAUGAAUUUGCAGUCGUGUUCAAAUUUUUUGCAACCACAGGAUGCCAAGUGCCACUCUCAAUCUGAUGUGGAGUCCAAGAUUGAACCUACAUCUGAACUGACCUCACAACCCCUUGCUAGAUUAAGCCCACUUCAUUUGCUAAAUCCAAGGUGCAGUCCAGAACCUAGACCACAUCCUAAUCUUGACUCUAGCCCCCAAACUAGUAUCAAUUUCUGUCCUGAUUCAAUCUCGCAACCCAGUCUUGAAUCCUCCUCUAUGCCAGAUGCUCAGUCUAGUUCUGAACUCCUAAAACAACCCAGUCUUGAAUCUUGUGACAGGACUGGUCUCGGAUCUGAUCUUGGACAAGGUGAACGAUUUGAUCAGCCUUGUGCUGAGUUGUUCAGUCCACUCAACUCUGAUCUUGGUCACCCUUUAAGUCCUGAAACAAGCCUUCACACUAGUAUUGAAUUCUCCUGUCAGGCUACUGACCAAUGCAGUCUUCUAAAAAGUAACUUUCCUAGUCCUGAAUCUUUCUGUCAAACUACCAGCGGAACAGUUCCUGAACCCAUCCCACAGCCGAAUAAACCAUGUUUGGAAUCCUCAGUGAAAUCUGAUCCAGAUCUUGGGCUCCCACUGUCUCUGGAUUCUUGUCAUCAACCCACGUUUAGUUCUAGUCCAGAACAUAGCCCUCAGUCUAGUUUUGAAUCCUGUCUUCAAUUCAUGGAAAGUUGCAGUACUGAAACAGAUUACCCCAAUUCUUGCCAACAAACCUGCCUCAGAAUCAGCCCCAAACCAAGCCCACGACAAAUCAGACAAGUUUUGAAUCAUGCCCUACAUCCAGUCUGAGGUCCAGCUCUGAACUCAGCCCACUACUUUGUCCUGAAUUUAUUCCUUGCUCUCAGCCAAGUCUUGACUCGUGCCUUCAGGCAGUUGUACAAGCCACUUCUGAAACGGAUCCGUUGCCUACUCCUGAAUCUUGCCACCGCCCCAGUGUUGAGUGGAACCCGCAAUCUUCGCCUGAAUCCCAUCUCAGAAGCAGUAAGUCAAGUCUACAGACCAACCCAAAACCUAAUUCUGAUCUCUACAACCAACUCAGUCCGAGUUGCAGGUAUAAACAACAUGCAAGUUUGAGAUCAUGUUCAGCAUACAACCUGAGAUCUAAGUUAUCACCCAUGCCCAAAGUCAGCCCAUAUAUUGAUAGAAGUGCUAAAAGUGAACAUGAGCUGGACUCGGAGAUCUCAAGUGGAUCUGAUUUUGGUCCGACUCAUGAUGAACAAUCCACUUGUAUCACGGAUGGCAAUUUAGAUGUAAUGAGUCAGUUGGCUGAGAAUUUUGAUCUCAAAUCAACUCUGAGCUCAUCAUCUUGCCAGAACCGCAGUUCCUAUUCUGAGAUUGGGCCAACCACAGAGAACAGAACAAAAGCUGAGUCACCCUCAAGUCCAGUGUCCACUCAAAGUUCAAAAAGCCAGAAUCUCAUGUCAGAUUUAUUGCUCAGUCCAAGUCUUAAUGCAAAUGAUGAAAGUGUGGACAAUAAUGAAUAUGAGCAGAGCACAUUCAUAGAAAAUGAGUCAGAGUUUCAUCUAGCUGAGAAUAAGACUUUCACUUCCAGCCAUAGUGCUGAAGAGCCUUUGAAGAGCCCUGCUGCAGCAUCUCGGUGCAGAUCAACAAAGAACAUCAAGAUCAAGUCCAAGUUUACCUCGUUUUCUUGCCUAAAAGCCACCACUCGGACUAAGGUCUCUUCUCCAAAGUCAAAGGUAUCUUCUAAGUCAAGAGUAAAAGGUGGUAAAAAGGUAAAAACAGUUGGUGCCCAGAGACUGUAUGGCAGAAAGCAGUUCUGUGUUUACUGUAAAAGACCCGUCACCAAAAUAGCAAGGCACUUGGAAAUGAGACAUGCAAAAGAAAAGGACGUAGCACAUGCCCUCAGCUUUCCAAAAGGAUCCAAAACAAGACACCUCUUACUUCAACAGCUCCGCAAUAAAGGCAAUUACCAGCAUAACAUUAAAGUUCUUCAAAAUGGAAACGGGGAAAUAAUCCCACUGAAGCGAACAAAAAAGAACACUUCGUCAAAUGACUAUAAAUCUUGUCCUGAUUGCCUGGGUUUUUUUCUUAAGAGUGAGUCGUGUCGGCACCAGCGGUCAUGCAAAAUGAAGAAGGAUAAAAACUCUCACCGGAAAUGGACUCGGUCAGCUUCAAAUAAGACCUUUGCGUUACAUGACUGUCUUUCUGAGGCCUGCCGGGAUAUUGUCCGCUCUAUGAGAGAUGAUGACAUCUCGAAACAAUUGAGAAAUGAUGAAUUGAUCUGCAAAUUUGGCAACAGUCUUUGUGAAAAGCGUGUGAAUCUUAAGCCACAGCACAGUUACGUAUCACAAAAGAUGAGAGAACUAGGUAGAUUUAUGUUAGCUGUGAAGGAGCUGGAUCCGAGUGUUGAGCAUCUGCAUCAAGUAUGCACUGAAUCCAGGUUUGAUUUGGCUUUGGAGGCUGCAAAGAAGCUUGGGUGUUUUGAUCAGCACUCUAAUCAAUUCAAAACUUCAGCGAUUGCCUCGAAACUGGGUUAUUCCUUGAAACAGGCCACUGAAAUAGCAUUGGGAGAGAAUAUUAUGGGAGAUGAAGCUACAGCCCAAGCCAAAAAGUUCAUCGAGCUCCUUGAAACGGACUGGGUUACAUACAUAGCCUCGCAUUCUUGCAACGUACAAAGCCCUGUUAGACAGAGCCUGGAGGAUGUUGCAGCUCUUACGGACGAUGUCAUCAAAAUGCAGGACUUUCUUAGACGUGCUGAGGAGCAGGCCAAAAGGGAACUGAUGGAAAACCCUAAUCGCAAAGCAUGGAAGAAUCUGCGCAACAGUCUUCUUGGCACAGUUGCUCUGUUUAAUAGAGGACGGAAAAACGCAGUGGAUAAAAUGCUUCUCAAACACUACUUAGAGAGAACUAAAGAACCUUACAGUGGAGACAAGUGUGAGUUCCUAUCAAAGGUGCAGCAGAGUCUUAAUCAUAAGCUGAUCAAAAUUGAAAGCGUUUGUAAAGAUGGGAGUAUGUGUCCCGUUUUACUGACUGAAAGAAUGGAGUCAUCCUUGGACAUCCUGACUAAGUACCGUGAGCAUGUAGGUGUCCCUGCGGACAAUCAUUACAUGUUUGCUCGAAUGGAAGCUUCUACUCACGUAAGAGCCACUGACUUCCUGAAAGAUCUUGCCCAGAGUUGUGGUGCAGACAAGCCCGAAAGUUUUACUUCUAUACGUACACAUAAGUGUGUAGCCACUAUAUUCCAAAUACUAAGCCUUAAUGACAGUGAAAUGCACCAUGUAGCUGAGCUUGUGGGUGGUGGCAGCUUUAACUGGGAAAAACUGAAUGAAAAUCCCCUGCAGUUGGCAGAAAUCUGCAACCUGCUUCUUAAAAUGGACCAAGAAGCUGUUCCACACAGAGAAAAUUCUCAUGAGACAGGCAAAGUGACACCUUCAGCCAAAGAGACUGAUGAAGGUGCUCGUGCACCAAAAGACAAAAGAAGAAAAUGGAGUGUGGAUGAACAGGAAGCUGUGAGGAGGCACAUGGCAAAGUAUAUAUCCCUCAUGAAGGUACCAGGCAAAAAGGACUGUUUGGACUGUAUAAGGACUGAGCCAGAUGCUCUCAAGUCAAGAACAUGGAGGGAUGUCAAAUAUUAUGUUCAUAACGCUAUACAAGCGAGCAAAAAGAAAAAAUCAAAGCAGAUGGAAGCUGACAGUGAUGGAGAACAUCCUGGUGGAGGAGCCGAUGCGAUGGAUGCUGCUGCAGAUGGGUCUCGUCCUAAAAAAAGACGUGUGUGAAGACAUGCCUAGAUGCGUCUUUGCCAGAAUAUUUGGUUUUCUAGUUUUAAAAAAAAAAAAAAAGUUCCACUCUGAUUGUCAGGAACUAACAGGCAAACAAGAAGAACUUCACUACUUCUUUUAAUUUUUUCAGUUUGCUGUUUUUAGUGUAUCUGACAUUUUGUCUUUGCUACUCACAAACGUUAGUAGACCUCUAGUAGAUCUCUAGGUGUUGAAUAUCAUUAGUUGAAGAAGGUCAAGCAUUUAUUCUUGUUACAAAUCUGGCACGUGUUGUUGGAAAUGCCUGGAAAUGCCAGAUGUAGAGCCAGAAAACUGAUUUAUAAGUGAAAAGUUUUAAUAUUCUUACUUGUAUUGUUAAGCAUGUUAACGUACUACACUAAGAAAUGCUGUGUUUAUUUCCGGUUCUUAAUUUCAUUGUAUUACAUUUCACUUUAAGCACUUUAUUACUGUAACGAGGCCUAAGAAAGACCUGAUAUUGUACUGUAUUAUUUGUGUGAUGAUUUAGUAAAGUCAGCAUUACUUCAACGAUUCUUUAGUUUAAGAACUGAAUGUGCACGUUUUUCUUUCAUACUCACAUUGUUUACCUGUAAUUUCAUGGUCACUUCCCUCCUGUUUUACAAUACAUUCUCUACUGUAUCUUCAUUUUGUUGAACGUCUCUGAAAUUAGGUUGUAUUACUCUAUAGAGUAUCUCAGUGCUUCUCUUGUCUGUGUUUAGGUCACAGUUCAAUAAAAAUUGGGACCGUG